GAACGCGCAGUUUUCUGUAGCAAUACAGGAGGCGGGCGCGUGGCGAACGGGUGCGUAACACGUGGGCAACCUUCCCUUCGGUGGGGGAUACCCCCGCGAAAGCGGGACUAAUACCGCAUAACACUCCUUGGGUUAGUUCUCAGGGAUUCAAAGCAGCAAUGCGCCGGAAGAGGGGCCCGCGGCCGAUUAGCUAGUUGGUGAGGUAACGGCUCACCAAGGCUAAGAUCGGUAGCCGGUCUGAGAGGAUGAUCGGCCACACUGGAACUGAGACACGGUCCAGACUCCUACGGGAGGCAGCAGUGGGGAAUCUUGCGCAAUGGGCGAAAGCCUGACGCAGCGACGCCGCGUGGGGGAUGAAGCUUUUACGGAGUGUAAACCCCUUUCGACCCGGACGAAUGCCCGCAAGGGUUUGACGGUACGGGUAGAAGAAGCCCCGGCUAACUACGUGCCAGCAGCCGCGGUAAU
rnacentral:rRNA from 1 species